UGGACUUGGAUGUUGCCGUGUCACAACGGCUCGUCUGAAAUACUUGAGUGUACCCUGCUUGCAGCGUAUCGGUGUGAUAAACAUCUUCACCGUGUAGUCUUUUGACGCGUUUACUUGUGGGCUCUAUGCUUCCAACCGUCCGCAAGGACAAUCUCUGACAAUUUGACCUCAAAUCGGGUGGGACUACCCGCUGAACUUAA
rnacentral:misc_RNA from 1 species